AACUUCUUUUUGAAUACAUUUUUGAACGGCAAAUAACUUCUAGUUUCCGAAAAUAUACGGGUUUCGCGAUUUUUCUUGUUUAUUUUGUGUAUUUUUGUUUGUUUUAUGACUUGGUGCUGUACAGUGUAUUUUAGGUCUGGAAAAGGUGUAAGUUGGCAGCACUUUUUUACUGUUCCUGGCUCACAACUAUUUGAGGUUAUGUUUUGAUCUCACAAAAAACAUGACAACAAAUACGUGCUCGCAAAAGUUGGAUUUCUAAAAGUAAGUACUUACGAGUUUUACUACUUUGAAGUUGGGUUCAUCAAAUGUCCGGCCCGUUACGCAAAAAGAUGGUUUUCUUUUAUUUGCUUGCUUAUUUUUGCAUAUUUAAAUGCGAAUUUUUGGAUUCACUUUGUUCUGAUAACUCAGGUUCUCCUCAAUUUUUUUUUCAAUUUUUAUAUCUUGUGAGAUGUUGAAAACAACAUAUUUAAAAUGUGUCCAUCCCGUUACGUAACGGGCCGGACAAGUAUUGAACUUCGCUAUUUAUGGGCACAGUGGGUUCUAAUUUUCAGGAUUGUGAAAGGGCUAUAUUAGAAACAUCAGAAGAACCUUAUUAGACCUAGGAGGUACUUAAAAACCUCAAAAUGUUCACUUUCUUGGAUUUUAAAGCAAUUUUGUUGUUUCAGGUUUUAAAAAAUGGACAUUUUUGCAAACCGGAUGCAGAAGCACCGCAGAAAAUUGAAAGAGGACCCAGCUGCCUAUAAAGCCCACCUGGCUAAAGAAAGGCUGAGAGACAAGAUUAGGAAACAGCGAAGAAGAGAAUAUUUAAAAAAUCAUCCAUCAGAUGCGGAGGCUGUUAAGAAGAAAGAUGCAGAACGGAAGCGCCGCAAAAGAGCAGAACAGAAAACGUGCAGCCUACUUGGUUCUUGGUCUCAUAGAAAUAAUAUUUUCUUGGUCUCAUAGAAAUAAUAUUUUGUUAAUGGUCUCACAGAGACAAUUUUAAGUACAAACUUUUUCAUUUCUUUUCACUAAAUUUAAUUUUAUAUUGUCUUUUGGUUUUUCUGCACCAAGUGCAAAAUACUAGGAACACUGUAAAAGGUCCAUUUCUUAGUUUAUUUUUUCGUUCUUGUUUACUUUAGUUUUAAGAAAGCUGCAUUGUGUUCUCUCUUUUUGACUAUUUUUUAAGUCAUUUUCUAGGCGAGUCAGAGAAUUCAAAGCUAAGAAUAUUGACACAUGCUCAAACCAAACUUUUGGUGCUUCCUUGCCUUUGUUUGCUAUUAGUCAUUUUUUGUUUGUUUGUUUUUUGGUUUGUUUUUUUGUUUUUUGUUUGUUUGUUUUGUUUGUUUUGAUACUCACACCGUGCCAUUGAAGUAUUACUAUUAUUAUUAUUAUUUUUGGUACUAGUUACUAUUUAUUUUUCCUCGAGCUUUUGUUUCUUUAUUAUUAUUUUCUUUGAUGUUUCUGCCAGUAAAACAUUAAUAAAGUUCAAAUUUUGAUUUAAAAGAAA